rnacentral:lncRNA from 1 species
UGGACGAUUUGAUUCUGUCGAGCCCUCUAUCAUCUACUAGCAUACUCCUCCUGCUCCACUGAUCAUAGAGGGCCUCCCAUACGUCUACCGACAUCUAGUGAUCUCCAUAGGACUUCCAGUUCGAUGGUGAUUGGGAAUUGGAAUGCUUGAUGGCUGACUGUCGUAGACUGUGUAGCCGACCUCGAAACCUACAUAUGGCCAUCUGCUCAAAGAUCAGAUGGCUAGCCUCCUCAUCAUAAGGAGAUAAGAAUCGGUAGUACCCCUACAAGUAGAAGCAAGCAUGUAUUAAUAAAUAGAAUACAAAUCUACUAUGAAUUAUUAAAUUAAACACCUUUGACUUACUAGAAAUAUCUUCCAGGAUGCAUCAUGAGCUCCCGACGGUCAACUGGAGAAUUUGUUUGCUGGCUCCGGCAUCAAUCAUUAGAUGAUCCUGAUAAUCACACGAGGCAUGGAGCUCUCUGUAAAUGUGC